GUGUCAGCAGCCGCGGUAAUACGUAGGGUGCAAGCGUUAAUCGGAAUUACUGGGCGUAAAGCGUGCGCAGGCGGUUAUGCAAGACAGAUGUGAAAUCCCCGGGCUCAACCUGGGAACUGCAUUUGUGACUGGCAGGCUAGAGUAUGGCAGAGGGGGGUAGAAUUCCACGUGUAGCAGUGAAAUGCGUAGAGAUGCGGAGGAACACCGAUGGCGAAGGCAGCCCCCUGGGCUAGCACUGACGCUCAGGCACGAAAGCGUGGGGAGCAAACAGGAUUAGAUACCCUGGUAGUCCACGCCCUAAACCAUGUCAACUGGGUGUUCGGGAAGCGAUGUCUGAGUACCGUAGCUAACGCGUGAAGUUGACCGCCUGGGGAGUACGGCCGCAAGGUUAAAACUCAAAGGAAUUGACGGG
rnacentral:rRNA from 1 species